GAUGAACGCUGGCGGCGUGCCUAAUACAUGCAAGUCGAGCGAACGGACGAGAAGCUUGCUUUUCUGAUGUUAGUGGCGGACGGGUGAGUAACACGUGGAUAACCUACCUAUAAGACUGGGAUAACUUCGGGAAACCGGAGCUAAUACCGUAUAAUAUUUUGAACCGCAUGGUUCAAAAGUGAAAGACGGUCUUGCUGUCACUUAUAGAUGGAUCCGCGCUGCAUUAGCUAGUUGGUAAGGUAACGGCUUACCAAGGCGACGAUGCAUAGACGAACUGAGAGGGUGAUAGCCCACACUGGAACUGAGACACGGUCCAGACUCCUACGGGAGGCAGCAGUAGGGAAUCGUCCGCAAUGGGCGAAAGCCUGACGGAGCAACGCCGCGUGAGUGAUGAAGGUCUUCGGAUCGUAAAAAUCUGUUAUUAGGGAAGAACAUAUGUGUAAGUAACUGUGCACAUCUUGACGGUACCUAAUCAGAAAGCCACGGCUAACUACGUG
rnacentral:rRNA from 1 species